GCUGGGACAGCUCAGCCAGUAGAGCAUGACACUCUGAACCUCAGGGUUGUGGGUUCAAGCCCUGCGUUGGGCA